AACGAACGCUGGCGGCAGGCUUAACACAUGCAAGUCGAGCGCCCCGCAAGGGGAGCGGCAGACGGGUGAGUAACGCGUGGGAACGUACCCUUAUCUUCGGGAUAGCUCCGGGAAACUGGAAUUAAUACCGAAUGUGCCCUUUGGGGGAAAGAUUUAUCGGAUAAGGAUCGGCCCGCGUUGGAUUAGCUAGUUGGUGGGGUAAAGGCCUACCAAGGCGACGAUCCAUAGCUGGUCUGAGAGGAUGAUCAGCCACAUUGGGACUGAGACACGGCCCAAACCCCUCCGGGAGGCGGCGGGGGGGAUUUUGGAACAAGGGGCGAAGGCCGAACCCCGCCGUGCCGGGGGAGGAAUGAGGCCGUUGGGGUGGAAAACCUCUUCCCCGGGAGAAAAUAAGGACGGGACCGGAGAAAAAGCCCCGGCCUACCUCCGUC
rnacentral:rRNA from 1 species